UACGAACUUAAAAUCCGUCGACUUUAGAAAUCGUGAGGGUUCAAGUCCCUCUAUCCCCA
rnacentral:tRNA from 2 species